GGUAUUAGCUCAGUUGGUUAAAGCAUGGAGCUAAUAGCACCAAGGUUGUGGGUUUGAUCCCUGCAUGAGCUG